rnacentral:rRNA from 1 species
UAAACGAGGGCUUAACUGUCUCCCUUUUCAAGUCAGUGAAAUUGAUCUACCCGUGCAGAAGCGGGUAUAAAAAUACAAGACGAGAAGACCCUUUGGAGCUUAAGGUACAAAGCUCAGCCACGUUAAGCGACUAAAUGAAGAGCAAAAACUUUGUGAAACGUGGGAUUUUACCUUCGGUUGGGGCGACCGCGGAGGAAAAAUAAGCCUCCAAGUGGACCGGGACAAACUCCUAGAACCAAGAGAGACAUCUCUAAGCCACAGAAUAUCUGACCAAACAUGAUCCGGCCACAAAGCCGAUCAACGAACCAAGUUACCCUAGGGAUAACAGCGCAAUCCUCUCCCAGAGUCCAUAUCGACGAGGGGGUUUACGACCUCGAUGUUGGAUCAGGACAUCCUAAUGGUGCAGCCGCUAUUAAGGGUUCGUUUGUUCAACGAUUAAAGUCCUACGUGAUCUGAGUUCAG